rnacentral:lncRNA from 1 species
GCAAAAAUGUGGUAGGGUUAAACAUGUUUCAUGAAAUCUCAACCCUCCCCCUACAGGUGCGGAUCCAGCCUUUUUAAAAAUGAGGGUUUCCAACUACAUGUCCCCAUUCAAAUGCAUUCAUUGUCCCAAAAAAAAGGCCAAUGUAGAAUAAAUAAAUGCACAGCAAUACACACUGUAACAAGAAUGUGUCCACAGUACACGGAUGCCCCACUCGCACUAUCAUUUUCUAUGUUUAGUGGACCGUGAAAUUGGAAUAAAUUCUCUAAUUUGGCAUUAAAAUUAGAAUGAUCUUAUCAAAGGCAACAUGUAUACUAAGUUUCAAGUUGAUUGGACUUCAACUUCAUCAAAAACUACCUUGACCAAACACUUUAACCUGAAGCGGGACAGACGGACGAACGAAUGGACGGACGAACUAACGGAC